GAGAAAAUCAUCAGAAAGUUGUCGGCAAAAUGGACCCCAAUAAUGUGAAUGUUGUAGCCCAAGGCUCUCAAACAGUAUCUGUGACGUCCAGUGGCACAGAUCUCAGCCAGGAUGUCGUAUUUGAUCCUAAUCCUUAUUGCCCUGACAAACCGUGUCCACCAGGACAAAGCGGCAGCGAAGGAAAAGGACACCAUUAAAAAAAUGUGAUGGAGAAGGUCGCUACGAACAGAUGACAAACCAUGGUUGUUAAACCAGCGAGAAAGAGGAGAGACGAAUCACAGAAAGUUAAACACUAUGCAGUCGUACCUUUCAUUUUUUUUUAUUUAAAAAAGGUAUAUUUAAUCUCUAAUGAUAUUUCUGAUGUUCAUUUACCAUUUCAAGGAGAAUGUUGUUGCAGAGAACAGAAAAGUUGUUAGCCGUUUAAACGCUGCAUUAAUAAAUAAAGUCACUAUCUGAAAACUUA